rnacentral:rRNA from 1 species
UGCGUAGGCGGAUAUUCAAGUCGGGUGUGAAAGCCCUGGGCUUAACCUAGGAAUUGCAUUCGAUACUGGGUGUCUGGAGUAUGGUAGAGGAAAGCGGAAUUUCCGGUGUAGCGGUGAAAUGCGUAGAUAUCGGAAAGAACAUCGGUGGCGAAGGCGGCUUUCUGGACCAAUACUGACGCUGAGGUACGAAAGCGUGGGGAGCAAACAGGAUUAGAUACCCUGGUAGUCC